UUGAGUACCAGGCGGUUCCACCAUGUCGAAGGUGUCCUUUAAAAUCACGCUGACGUCGGACCCGCGGCUACCGUACAAAGUGUGAGUGACAGCCUCAGCGUUCCUGAAAGCACACCUUUCACAGCUGUGCUAAAGUUUGCAGCAGAAGAGUUUAAAGUUCCUGCUGCUACAAGUGCGAUUAUUACUAAUGAUGGAAUAGGAAUUAAUCCUGCACAGACUGCUGGAAACGUUUUUCUGAAGCACGGCUCAGAGCUGCGGCUCAUUCCUCGAGACCGAGUUGGGAGCUGCUAAUGUAUGCUUCUUGGAAUGCACAGCCUCUCAGAAUGAACACUGGGAUUUGUUGUUGCUGUACAAUUGAAAUCAGGCAUUCACAGCACAAUGGAAGCACCGAGAAUCAGCGGAACAGGGAACCUUGACGCUUGUCCCUUCCUGUUCAUUUUUUCAUGGGAAGAGAGAAUGCCUUUGAGUGGAGGGUACCACACCACAGGUCACACCGUGGUGACUGCUGCCUCACCAGAAGAGAGUACCUCUGUGACAAAUGGACUGUGCUUUAAAACAAAAACAGCAAAACUGGAGGAUAAGUCUGCUAAUUCUUUUCAGGAGCAUUUGGAAAAAUUAAAAUUCACAGAAUCAUAUGUAUCUUCUAAUUUUGAAAUUUAAAAGGAUAAUUGAUCAUAGAAGCAUUUGGCU
rnacentral:lncRNA from 1 species